rnacentral:rRNA from 1 species
UACAGAGGUCCCGAGCGUUGUUCGGAAUUAUUGGGCGUAAAGGGCGCGUAGGCGGCCUUGUAAGUCAAAGGUGAAAUCCCUCGGCUCAACUGAGGAACUGCCUUUGAAACUGCAAGGCUUGAGGCCGGGAGGGGGUAGCGGAAUUCCCAAUGUAGCGGUGAAAUGCGUAGAUAUUGGGAGGAACACCAGUGGCGAAGGCGGCUACCUGGACCGGUUCUGACGCUGAGGCGCGAAAGCGUGGGUAGCAAACAGG